AGUUCAGCAGAGCUGCUGCACAAUGACUGGGUCCUUCUGCUUCUGAGAAUCAAACGGUCCUUUUUUGCUAAGGAAGAAAAUAAGCUGGAACGAACACUGUCAUAUCUUCUUCUUGAAGAAAGCUUUCAAUACAAUAUUCCUCAGCAAUAACUCAGACAUUCACAUUAAAAUACUCACAAAUUGUCAUGGAAGUUAAAUACACACGAUAUGGAAUCUACUCUGGACACACAAAAUGAAGUCGCUGCCUCCUUGGUCUGAGAUAAUAAAUGACAGUGACAAGGACAAUAAUCCAUAUCAGCUCCCACAAGGAUAUUCACAGAAGCAACAUGGUGACAAUUUACCGGUGACUAAACAUGCCUUUGGAUGAUAUUUUAGCCUAAAUUCUUAGGAAAGUCCAGUGCUACUUUAAACAUCUACUUUUUGCCUAAAGAUGUAGGCGGGAA